CAGUAGCCGCGGUAAUACGUAUGUCACAAGCGUUAUCCGGAUUUAUUGGGCGUAAAGCGCGUCUAGGUGGUUAUGUAAGUCUGAUGUGAAAAUGCAGGGCUCAACUCUGUAUUGCGUUGGAAACUGUGUAACUAGAGUACUGGAGAGGUAAGCGAAACUACAAGUGUAGAGGUGAAAUUCGUAGAUAUUUGUAGGAAUGCCGAUGGGGAAGCCAGCUUACUGGACAGAUACUGACGCUAAAGCGCGAAAGCGUGGGGCGCAAACAGGAUUAGAUACCCGCGUAGUCCCUGUCUCUUAUACC
rnacentral:rRNA from 1 species